rnacentral:rRNA from 1 species
AAUAGAUACCCAGGUAGUCCAUGCCGUAAACGUUGGGAACUAGAUGUAGGGCCUGUUCCACGGGUUCUGUGUCGUAGCUAACGCAUUAAGUUCCCCGCCUGGGGAGUACGGCCGCAAGGCUAAAACUCAAAGGAAUUGACGGGGGCCCGCACAAGCGGCGGAGCAUGCGGAUUAAUUCGAUGCAACGCGAAGAACCUUACCAAGGCUUGACAUACACGAGAACGGGCCAGAAAUGGUCAACUCUUUGGACACUGGUGUACAGGUGGUGCAUGGUUGUCGUCAGCUCGUGUCGUGAGAUGUUCGGUUAAGUCCGGCAACGAGCGCAACCCUCGUCCUAUGUUGCCAGCACGUGAUGGUGGGAACUCAUGGGAUACUGCCGUGGUCAACACGGAGGAAGGUGGGGAUGACGUCAAAUCAUCAUGCCCCUUAUGUCUUGGGCUUCACGCAUGCUACAAUGGCCGUACAAAGGGCUGCGAUACCGUAAGGUGGAGCGAAUCCCAAAAAGCCGGUCUCAGUUCGGAUUGGGGUCUGCAACUCCG